rnacentral:rRNA from 1 species
UACGUAGGUGGCAAGCGUUGUCCGGAUUUACUGGGCGUAAAGGAUGCGUAGGCGGACAUUUAAGUCAGAUGUGAAAUACCCGAGCUCAACUUGGGUGCUGCAUUUGAAACUGGGUGUCUAGAGUGCAGGAGAGGUAAGUGGAAUUCCUAGUGUAGCGGUGAAAUGCGUAGAGAUUAGGAAGAACACCAGUGGCGAAGGCGACUUACUGGACUGUAACUGACGCUGAGGCAUGAAAGCGUGGGGAGCAAACAGG